rnacentral:rRNA from 1 species
GACGAACCGUGCGAACGUUGUUCGGAAUCACUGGGCUUAAAGGGCGCGUAGGCGGGGUGGACAGUCUAUGGUGAAAUCCUCCGGCUCAACCGGAGAACUGCCGUGGAUACUGCCACUCUCGAGGGGUGUAGGGGCAUGCGGAACUUCGGGUGGAGCGGUGAAAUGCGUAGAUAUCCGAAGGAACGCCGGUGGCGAAAGCGGCGUGCUGGACACCUUCUGACGCUGAGGAGCGAAAGCCAGGGGAGCAAACGGG